CUACGGGGAGGCAGCAGUAGGGAAUCUUCGGCAAUGGGGGCAACCCUGACCGAGCAACGCCGCGUGAGUGAAGAAGGUUUUCGGAUGUAAAGCUCUGUUGUAGGUCAAGAACGGGUGUGAGAGUGGAAAGUUCUUCUGUGACGGUAUCUUACCAAAAGGGACGGCUAACUACGUGCCACCACCCCGGUAAUACUUAGGUCCCGAGCGUUGUCCGGAUUUAUGGGGCGUAAAGCGAGCGCAGGCGGUUAGAUAAUUCUGAGGUUAAAGGCUGUGGCUCAACCCAUAGUUCGCUUUGGAAACUGUCUUUCUUGAGUGCAGAAGGGGAGAGUGGAAUUCCAUGUGUAGCGGUGAAAUGCGUAGAUAUAUGGAGGAACACCGGUGGCGAAAGCGGCUCUCUGGUCUGUAACUGACGCUGAGGCUCGAAAGCGUGGGGAGCGAACAGGAUUAGAUACCCUGGGGUAG
rnacentral:rRNA from 1 species